UACGUAGGGCGCAAGCGUUAUCCGGAAUUAUUGGGCGUAAAGAGCUCGUAGGCGGUUUGUCGCGUCUGCUGUGAAAGACCGGGGCUCAACUCCGGUUCUGCAGUGGGUACGGGCAGACUAGAGUGCAGUAGGGGAGACUGGAAUUCCUGGUGUAGCGGUGAAAUGCGCAGAUAUCAGGAGGAACACCGGUGGCGAAGGCGGGUCUCUGGGCCGAUACUGACGCUGAGGAGCGAAAGCUAGGGGAGCAAACAGG
rnacentral:rRNA from 1 species